rnacentral:rRNA from 1 species
GACGAACGCUGGCGGCGUGCUUAACACAUGCAAGUCGAACGAUGAAGCCGGAGCUUGCUCUGGUGAAUUAGUGGCGAACGGGUGAGUAACACGUGAGUAACCUGCCCUUGACUCUGGGAUAACUGCGGGAAACUGUAGCUAAUACCGGAUACGACCCUCGGAGGCAUCUCCUGGGGGUGGAAAGAAUUUCGGUCAAGGAUGGACUCGCGGCCUAUCAGCUAGUUGGUGAGGUAAAGGGUCACCAAGGCGACGAUGGGUAGCCGGCCUGAGAGGGUGACCGGCCACACUGGGACUGAGACGCGGCCCAGACUCCUACGGGAGGCAGCAGUGGGGAAUAUUGCACAAUGGGCGCAAGCCUGAUGCAGCAACGCCGCGUGAGGGAUGACGGCCUUCGGGUUGUAAACCUCUUUUAGCAGGGAAGAAGCGAAAGUGACGGUACCUGCAGAAAAAGCACCGGCUAACUACGUGCCAGCAGCCGCAGUAA